rnacentral:tRNA from 1 species
GGGUAGUUAGUCUAAAUAAAACACUUGAUUUCGGCUCAAGAACUUGUGGUGAGAGUCCACGACUACCUU